GCGGAUUCUCUCUCACGAACUCGCUCUCGAAACCUCUGGCAUUCUCUCUCCCACUCUCUCUGCAUCUUGGAGAGUGAUCUAGGGUUUGACGGCCGAAUCGAUUCAAGGUGGAAAUCGGUCUCUCUCUUUGGCUUGGGGAUCUCGACUUCCUCAUCUGCAUCUUGGAGAGCGAUCUAGGGUUUGACGGCCGAAUCGAUUCAAGGUGGAAAUCGGUCUCUCUCUUUGGCUUGGGGAUCUCGACUUCCUCAUCUGCAUCUUCUCGAGCUCCGAAGCCAAUCGGUGAUGGCGGUAGCGAUGGCAGCGGUGGUGACGGCUUCCAAUCGUUUUCUUGUUCUGCUUUGCCGGUAGUCUCGCGCGCAAGAGAGAUUUCGACGAUUCCUCUCUGGCUGGAUCUCCCGCUCAGGAUUUGUCUCUCGGUCGGUCUCUCUCUUGCUUGAAGACGGAACAGAUGAAGAUCGAAGAAGUUCUUCGUUGUUACUUGAUCAUCAAAAUCUCUGAAGAUGCUUCGGAGUAGUUGAUGUGCUGAUUUCAAGAAAAUCGCAGAAUAAAGAUUGAGCUGAGUCUUCUCAAUCUUUACUUGUACAUUUGUUGCGCAAAGAUUCUGAUUUCAGCAGAUUCUGUUGACAUUUAAUUUCACUGAUUUUGUUAAAGAAGAAGAUGAGAAAAACGCGUCUAGAUUGCAACUCGAAAGAAGCGUACACCAUCUUCAAAUCGGCAGCCGAGGCGUUCAUUCAAUGAGUUCGAGGAUCACAGAAUCAAAGGACAUCAUUCUUCAUUUCCAGGAGUUCCAAUUACAAAAUGGAAGCUAAGUGUUUGGUUUCCUCUUUUCUAUUUCGGUAAGGAGUGUUAUUAGAUUCAGAUCCUCCACUGAUUUCAGUACAUGUUUUUUUUUUGUUAAAUAGCAACUUCAUUGUCACUGAAUGGUAGACAUCUCCGAAGGUCAGUUCUUGGCCAAUUCAUUACGGACCAAGGUGGGUGCGAUGAAACUCCAUUUAAUAUCAUCCAAUGAGGCGAGAGCUUCUCAUGUCGUGACUCAUGAUCGACAAUGAAG
rnacentral:lncRNA from 1 species